UACAGAGGGUGCAAGCGUUGUUCGGAAUUAUUGGGCGUAAAGCGCGUGUAGGCGGCCUUGCAAGUCGGGUGUGAAAGCCCUCAGCUCAACUGAGGAAGUGCGCCCGAAACUGCAGAGCUUGAGUACCGGAGAGGAUGGUGGAAUUCCCGAAGUAGAGGUGAAAUUCGUAGAUAUCGGGAGGAACACCGGUGGCGAAGGCGACCAUCUGGACGGAUACUGACGCUGAGACGCGAAAGCGUGGGUAGCAAACAGG
rnacentral:rRNA from 1 species